rnacentral:lncRNA from 1 species
UGUGAUUCUACGCUAGCCUGGGCUACAAAGGAAGUUUUGGGACAGCCUGGACUACAUACCACUGAGGAGUCACAUCCUGUGACUGUCCCCCAUCUUCCUGCCCAGCUCUGAACCAUGGCAACUUCCAGGUUGCCCGCGGUGCCUGAGGAGGAGACCACCAUCCUCAUGGCCAAGGAAGAGCUGGAGGCCCUGCGCACAGCCUUUGAGUCUGGCGACAUCCCUCAGGCCGCCUCUCGCCUUCGGGAGCUGCUGGCCACCACGGAGACCACCCGGCUGGAAGUGGGCGUCACGGGCGAGUCGGGAGCCGGCAAGUCCUCCCUCAUCAAUGCCCUGCGGGGAGUGGGGGCCGAGGAUCCUGGUGCAGCUCUCACUGGGGUCGUGGAGACCACCAUGCAACCUUCACCCUACCCGCACCCACAGUUUCCCGACGUGACCCUGUGGGACCUGCCCGGGGCCGGUUCUCCAGGCUGCUCAGCAGACAAGUAUCUGAAGGAGGUGGAUUUCGGCCGC